GGUUUACCUGGAUCUGGAGGUGUCUUUGGAGCAGGAGCUGUACCAGGAUUGGUAGGAGGUCCUUGCGUUCUGCCUGGAGGGCUUGGGACUGGUGCUGGAUAUGGAGGCAUUGGUGGGUGAACCUGCUGAUUUGUUCAUUUGAUUCUAAAUGAAGGGUAUGGAGCAGCACAAAAACCACCUAAAUAUGGUAAACCACUUAUGGUAUUUAAUUUUUAUAAUUAAAAUGUCACGUGUACAGGCUAAGAACUGACCCCAUGCAUCUCCAUCUAAUAGGACAACUAGCUAGUCAUAAUUAUCAGACUUACCUGUUCCAUGUUAGUGAUUGGCGGUCCUGAUGGUGCAAUUCGUGGUGGUGG